rnacentral:rRNA from 1 species
AUUGAACGCUGGCGGCAGGCCUAACACAUGCAAGUCGAACGAGUGGCGGACGGGUGAGUAAUGUCUGGGAAACUGCCCGAUGGAGGGGGAUAACUACUGGAAACGGUAGCUAAUACCGCAUACCAUCGGAUGUGCCAAGAUGGGUUUAGAUAGUAGGUGGGGUUACGGCUCACCUAGGCGACGAUCCCUAGCUUUCCUGAGAGGAUGAACUGCCACACUGGACCUGCGACACGGUCCAGACUCCGACGGUGGGCAGCAGUGGGGAAUAUUGCACAAGUGGCGCAAGCCUGAUGCAGCCAUGCCGCGUGUAUGAAGAAGGCCUUCGUGUUGUAAAAUACUUUCAGCGAGGAGGCGUUACUCGCAGAAGAAGCACCGGCUAACGCCGUGCCAGCAGCCGCGGUAAUUC